AGGACGAACGCUGGCGGCGUGCUUAACACAUGCAAGUCGAACGAGGCCCUGCCUUCGGGCAGGUGACCUAGUGGCGAACGGGUGAGUAACACGUGGGCAACCUACCCUCAGCUCUGGGAUAACCCCGGGAAACCGGAGCUAAUACCGGAUACGACCCGGAACGACAUCGCUUCAGGUGGAAAGUUUUUCGGCUGAGGAUGGGCCCGCGGCCUAUCAGCUUGUUGGUGGGGUAAUGGCCUACCAAGGCGACGACGGGUAGCCGGCCUGAGAGGGCGAACGGCCACACUGGGACUGAGACACGGCCCAGACUCCUACGGGAGGCAGCAGUGGGGAAUAUUGCGCAAUGGGCGAAAGCCUGACGCAGCGACGCCGCGUGAGGGAUGAAGGCCUUCGGGUUGUAAACCUCUUUCAGCAGGGACGAAGCGAAGUGACGGUACCUGCAGAAGAAGCACCGGCCAACUACGCGCCAGCAGCCGC
rnacentral:rRNA from 1 species